ensembl:lncRNA
CAUGAUGCUGCCACCCCCGUGCUUCACGGUUGGGAUGGUGUUCUACGGCUUGCAAGACUCUCCAUUACUCCUCCAAACAUAACGAUUGUCAUGUGCAGUUGCAAACCGUGUCUGGCUUUUUUUAUGGCAGUUUUGGAGCAGUGGCUUCUUCCUUGCUGAGCGGCCAUUCAGGUUAUGUCGAUAUAGGACUCAUUUUACUGUGGAUAUAGAUACUUUUGUACCUGUUUCCUCCAGCAUCUUCACAAGGUCCUUUUGUUGUUGUUUUGGGAUUGAUUUGCACUUUUCGCACCAAAGUACGUUCAUCUCUCGGAGACAGAACUCGUCUCCUUCCUGAGCGGUAUGAUGGGUCUUGUCCCAUGGUGUUUAUACUUGCGUACUAUUGUUUGUACAGAGGAACGUGGUACCUUCAGGAGUUUGGAAAUUGCUCCAAAGGAUGAACCAGAGUUGUGGAGGUCUACAAUCUUUUUUUCCGAGGUCUUGGCUGAUUUCUUUUGAUUUUCCCAUGAUGUCAGGCGAAGAGGCACUGAAUUUGAAGAAUCGGCGGAAUGAAUACACACCCCUGAUCAUGCGUAAACGGAGUUCACUCUCAUAACAGCCAUGUUGUAUUCCUUUUCUUCCCUCCGCUUGUGGACUUCAAUGCACAACACAUCAGCUGUAUGUGACCAGGCAAAAAUACCUUUCCAAGCCAAACCGCUACACACAGCCUACACCAUGUCACCAUAUUAGCUAAAGUAACGUCAUAGCUAAUGGAACUAGCGUGUUAGUAAACCCGCUACAAUCAUGCAUUUCACUGGCGGGUCCCGGUGGCAAUACUUUUGUAAUAGCAAACGCUUACCUUGACUUGGAAGAGUUCCAGUGUUGUUUUGGACAGUCAUAGCCACCUAGGUAACAUAGCAUCCCUCUGUUUGAGCAGGGUGUUUCAGUAGGCUAAACUAGCUGCAUUUGCUAGCUAAGUAAGUGAAAGUGAAAAAAAUGAAUCUUUCUCUCUUGCGUCUCCAUGAUUUUGGAAGAAAUUAAUUUGUUAAACUGUUAAACUAUUGUCUUUCCCUCUCUUUGAGUCAAAUACUCACCAUAUUUUAAAGACUGCAGUGCUAGCUAACAGUAGUUUAUGCUUUCAGUACUAGUUUAAUUCUCUGAUCAUUUGAUUGGGUGGACAACAUGUCAAUUCAUGCUGCAAGAGCUCUGAUAGGCUGGAGGACAUUCUCCGGAAGUUGUCAUAAUUACUGUGUAAGCCUAUGGAAGGUCUUGAGAACCAUGAGCCUCCUAGGUUUUGUAUUGAAGUCAGAGGAGGGCGGAAGCUAGCUGUCCUCCGGAUACACCAUGGUGCUACCCUACAGAGUGCUGCUGAGGCUACUGUAGACCUUUGAAAAAUAGUGUUUUAAUCAGUUAUUUGGUGACGUGAUUAUAUUUAGUAUAGUUUUAUCUAAAAAGGAUAACUUUUUAGAUUAAAAAAAAGCUGAAGGGGGGGGGUUCGCCCAGGGAGCCAUACUAGCUAGAACCGCCACUUCGAGUCACGACCACUCACACUGUAGCCUAAACAUAGUCCAGUUCAAAGUGAAUGGCACAGAUCUAUAUAUGGCAAUGGCUAUUUACAUAUAGGCCUACUACAGCUCUGAUUGGUUAUGGCGCACCGUCUGUGUAGAGUACAGGCCUGAUUCGAGCCUGUCAAUGCAAUAGAAUCCUACUCCAAUGCACUCUACCUACAAGACAAUCUCUAGCAAAGUUAAUUUAGCAUACCGUCUUCAUUGUUUGUUUUGUUACGAUAUGUUACAUUGAAUGUGGCUAAUAUUGCCACAGUAGAGCGAAACGUUGAUAGUGUUAACUAAAGAGGAAAACUCUAGAAAAUUGAGUGAAGUUCAAUCGAGUGCUUCUUUGCGCGGGCCGAGGGGAGCUGAGCGCCCACAUGUGUGCAGCUUAAAGGAACAUUGCUAUUGAGCAUGUUUUGGAUGCUCUGGAUCGACGUGUACCACAGCGUGUUCCAGGUCCUGCCAAUAUCCAGCAACUUCACACAGCCAUUGAAGAGGCAUGGGACAAAAAACCUUCCACAGGCCACAAUUAACAGCCUGACCAACUCUAUGCAAAGGAGAUGUGUUGCGUUACAUGAGGCAAAUGGUGGUGACACCAGAUACUGACUGGUUUUCUGAUUCACACCCCUACCAUUUUUUAAGGUAUCUGUGACCAACAGAUGCAUACUGUAUCUGUAUUGGCAGGACCUGUACAUAGCACCUGUACAUAGCCCACCUGUAAAUAGCCCAAACAACUACCUCAUCCCCUACUGUAUUUAUUUAUUUAUCUUGCUCCUUUGAACCCCAGUAUUUCUACUUUGCACAUUCAUCUACUGCACAUCUACCAUUCCAGUGUUUAAUUGCUAUAUUGUAUUUACUUUGCCACCAUGGCGUAUUUAUUGCCUUACCUCCCUUAUCUCACCUCAUUUGCACACAUUGUAUAUAGACUUGUUUUUCUGCUGUAUUAUUGACUGUAUGUUUGUUUUACUCCAUGUGUAACUCUGUGUUGUUGUAUGUGUCGAACUGCUUUGCUUUAUCUUGGCCAGGUCACAGUUGUAAAUGAGAACUUGUUCUCAACUUGCCUACCUGGUUAUAAAAGUGAAAUAAAAAUAAAUGAAUACAUUCCCAGUCAUGUGAAAUCCAUAGAUUAGGGCGUAAAUUAAUUUAUUUCAGUUGACUGAUAUGAACUGUAACUCAGUAAAAGAUUUAAGAUUUUUGCAUGUUGCGUUUUAUUUUUUGUUCAGUUUAGAUAAUAAGUGAUAUCCAAAUCGCCCGUAGGCUACACCACUGCUGUUAUCCUUACCUCCAAGCAUUUAUUAAAGUUGGAUCAUCUUUGAUUGCCAACAGCAUUCACUCCAUUGGAAGAUAUAGCUUGGACUAUAUGCCUUCAAAAGCCUAUUCCUGCUCUUUCCCCGAGAUUCAUCAAACGCAUUUGGUGUGUCAUCAUAGUGGUCUCUGACUUGUGGUCAGACUCGCUCAGGUGGAAACAAAUGUAAACUUGAGCCUUUUUUCAAUGCUGAUUUGAAUGUCAUUGAGAAAACAAAAAGGUGUCCAAAUAAAAUGAUGCAAACAUCCUUUCUGAAUUUAAAAGUCAUCCUAGAAGUAAUCAUCUAGUUUUUCAAAAGUAUCUGUAAUCUGAUUACUAUAUUUUUGCUGGUAAUGUAACAUAUUAGUUUGUUUUUUUGUAAUCUGUUACAUGUAACGGAUUACAUCUAAUCCGUUACCCCCCCCCAUCCCUGUUUGUAUGUUUUACUUUUUAACUUUAUUUAUAGACUUAAGAUAUAACAGCAAAAACAGUACAACCCCAAACCCUCAUUCUCCCAUCCAUCCCCUCCCUCAACUUCCUCCCUCCCUACAAACCACCCACCCACCAAGGCAUCUAUAAAAGUAAGUUAAAU